rnacentral:rRNA from 1 species
CCUACGGGUGGCAGCAGUGGGGAAUAUUGCACAAUGGGGGAAACCCUGAUGCAGCGACGCCGCGUGAGUGAAGAAGUAUUUCGGUAUGUAAAGCUCUAUCAGCAGGGAAGAAAAUGACGGUACCUGAGUAAGAAGCCGCGGCUAACUACGUGCCAGCAGCCGCGGUAAUACGUAGGGGGCAAGCGUUAUCCGGAUUUACUGGGUGUAAAGGGAGCGUAGACGGCGGAGUAAGUCUGAAGUGAAAGCCGGGGGCUCAACCCCCGAACUGCUCUGGAAACUGUUUGGCUGGAGGACAGGAGAGGUAAGCGGAAUUCCUGGGGUAGCGGUGAAAUGCGUAGAUAUUAGGAGGAACACUAGUGGCGAAGGCGGGUUACUGGACUGUAACUGACGUUGAGGCUCGAAGGCGAGGGGAGCAAAAAGGAUUAGAUACCCGUGUAGUC